rnacentral:rRNA from 1 species
UACACACCGCCCGUCACACCAUGGGAGUUGGCUUUACCUGAAGGCGGCGCGCUAACCCGCAAGGGAGGCAGCCGACCACGGUAGGGUCAGCGACUGGGGUG